rnacentral:misc_RNA from 1 species
UUGAUGUUGGACGGCUUGGUCGAGUCCCCGGACUGGACCCCUCCUAAAGACAAUGACGGCGACCUGUGGUUCCCCCGGUACACUGAGCUCUUAACUAGGCACGUGUCGGACAAGGCGCCCAGGACCCGGUCUCCCCCGUGCCUCCCGGCACACUUUUCAAGGUUGACCUCGGAUCAGGUAGGAAUACGCGCUGAACUUAA